GCCAACUGGGGAAGCAUUUGUGGAAUUUGGAAGUUCGGAAGAUUCAAAGGCAGCAAUGGCCAAGGAUAGGAUGACCCUUGGGAGUCGUUAUAUAGAAUUGUUUCCUUCAUCAGUUGAGGAGAUGGAAGAAGCCGUUACAAGAGGGCGAUGAUGUUUGCUUCUGUCAUUUGUACUACUGGUGAUGUUUAACCUUGCCUCAAUGUCUAAAGUUUUGCUUCAUUACAUUUUCUUAGUUAGUAUGGUUUUCUGUUGUUUUUCAUCCCAAUGUUCUAUGAGUUAGUCAUAUCUUUGACAAAAUGGUGCCAUCACUUGUCAAAAUUUAUCUUUGUUUCUUUAUGACAUUGCCUUGAAUGUUAUGAGCGACUUGGCAAAUGCUUGACAGAUUUAGUUUUGUUA
rnacentral:misc_RNA from 1 species